rnacentral:rRNA from 1 species
AUCCUACGGCAGGCAGCAGUAGGGAAUAUUGCUCAAUGGGGGAAACCCUGAUGCAGCGACGCCGCGUGUGGGAAGACGGUCCUCUGGAUUGUAAACCACUGUCCCCAGGGACGAAGAUGACGGUACCUGGGGAGGAAGCUCCGGCUAACUACGUGCCAGCAGCCGCGGUAAUACGUAGGGAGCAAGCGUUGUCCGGAAUUACUGGGUGUAAAGGGAGCGUAGGCGGGGAUGCAAGUUGGGUGUCAAAACUACCGGCUCAACUGGUAGUGGCACUCAAACAUGCAGCGCUGGAGUGAAGUAGAGGG